CGCUGUUGCUUAAAGUACUGAGAUAAAGGGCUGGACUGAUCAUAUGGAGUACCCAUUGUUUUCCUGGUGGGCUGAUCAAUAUUGAGGCCGAAU